GAUCAGUGGCUCGAGGACGACGCUGGCGGCGUGCCUAACACAUGCAAGUCGAACGGGGUAGAUUCCUUCGGGGAUCUACUUAGUGGCGAACGGGUGAGUAACGCGUGAGGAACCUGCCUUUCAGAGGGGGACAACAGUUGGAAACGACUGCUAAUACCGCAUGAUGUAUCGAGAUCGCAUGGUUUUGGUACCAAAGAUUUUAUCGCUGAAAGAUGGCCUCGCGUCUGAUUAGCUAGUUGGUGAGGUAACGGCCCACCAAGGCGACGAUCAGUAGCCGGACUGAGAGGUUGACCGGCCACAUUGGGACUGAGAUACGGCCCAGACUCCUACGGGAGGCAGCAGUGGGGAAUAUUGCACAAUGGGGGAAACCCUGAUGCAGCAACGCCGCGUGAGUGAAGAAGUAUUUCGGUAUGUAAAGCUCUAUCAGCAGGGAAGAAAAUGACGGUACCUGACUAAGAAGCCCCGGCUAACUACGUG
rnacentral:rRNA from 1 species